rnacentral:lncRNA from 1 species
CAGCUAGGCACAAACAGUCCCGGAGGUUCCUGCAGAGCAUUGGUGACAACUUCUUGACACAGAUGGUGGAGGAGCCAACAAGGAGAGGUGUGCUGCUGGACCUCGUACYAACAAACAAAGAAGGWCUGGUKGAAGAUGUGAAGGUUGGGGGCAGCCUUGGCUGCAGUGACCAUGAGAUGGUGGAGUUCAGGAUCCUGCGAGGAGGAGGCAGGGCACUAAGUAGGAUUGCAACCCUAGACUUCAGGAGAGCAAACUUUAGCCUCUUCAGGGACCUGCUUGGAGGAAUCCCAUGGGUUAGGGCCCUAGAAGGAAGGGGCGUUCAAGAGAGCUGGUUAAUAUUCAAACAUCACCUCCUCCAGGCUCAAGAGCGGUGCGUCCCUAUGAGUAGGAAGUCAAGCAAAGGAGGGAGGAGACCAGCAUGGAUGAGCAAGGAGCUCCUGGCAAAACUCAACCAGAAGGAGGAAGUAUACAGAAAGUGGAAAGUGGGACAGGCCACUUGGGAGGAAUAUAGGAACGUUGUCAGAGUAUGCAGGGAUGUGACGAGGAAAGCUAAGGCCCGUUUGGAAUUAAAUCUGGCGAGAGAUGUCAAGGAUGACAAGAAGGGCUUCUUCGAAUACGUCAGUAGCAAGAGGAAGACUAGGGAAAAUGUGGGCCCUUUGCUGAAUGGGGUGGGUGCCCUGGUGACGAAGCAUGCAGAGAAGGCAGAGUUACUGAAUGCCUUCUUUUUCUCAGUCUUUACUGUCAGGCCAGCCCUCAGGAACCCCAGACCCUGGAGGCAAGAGAGAAAGUCUGCAGAAAGGAGGACUUUCCCUUGGUCGAGGAGGAUCGGGUUAGAGAUCAUUUAAGCAGACUUGACACCCACAAAUCCAUGGGCCCUGAUGGGAUGCACCACGAGUGCUGAGGGAGCUGGCRCAUGUUAUUGCUAGGCCACUCUCCAUCCUCUUGGACAGGUCAUGGAGAAGAGGAAAGGUGCCUGAAGACUGGAAGAAAGCCAGUGUCACCCCAGUCUUCAAAAAGGGCAAGAAGGAGGACCCAGGGAACUACAGGUCAGUCAGCCUCACCUCCAUCCCUGGAAAGGGGAUGGAGCAGCUCAUCCUGGAG